GCACGAAUGGUGUAACGAUCUGGACACUGUCUCAGCCAUGAGCUCGGUGAAAUUGUAGUAACGGUGAAGAUGCCGUUUACCCGCUGUGGGACGAAAAGACCCCGUGAACCUUUACUAUAGCUUCACAUUGACAUUGGGUAACUGAUGUGUAGGAUAGGUGGGAGACUUCGAUCGUGCGUCGCUAGGCGUGCGUGAGUCAUUGUUGAAAUACCACCCUUUGCUUAUCUAGAGUCUAACUUUCACUGAAAGGACAGUGCUUGGUGGGUAGUUUGACUGGGG
rnacentral:rRNA from 11 species